rnacentral:rRNA from 1 species
AGUUACGUAUUGCUGGUGCUGUUCUCGCAAAGGCAGAAAGUAGUCAGAGUUUGAUCCUGGCUCAGAUUGAACGCUGGCGGCAUGCCUUACACAUGCAAGUCGAACGGUAACAGGUCUUCGGAUGCUGACGAGUGGCGAACGGGUGAGUAAUACAUCGGAACGUGCCCAGUAAUGGGGAUAGCUCGGCGAAAGCCGGAUUAAUACCGCAUACGCCCUGAGGGGGAAAGUGGGGGACCGCAAGGCCUCACGUUAUUGGAGCGGCCGAUGGCUGAUUAGCUAGUUGGUAGGGUAAAGGCCUACCAAGGCGACGAUCAGUAGCUGGUCUGAGAGGACGAUCAGCCACACUGGGACUGAGACACGGCCCAGACUCCUACGGRGGCAGCAGUGGGAAUUUUGGACAAUGGGGGAAACCCUGAUCCAGCAAUGCCGCGUGUGCGAAGAAGGCCUUCGGGUUGUAAAGCACUUUUGUCAGGGAAGAAAUCCUUUGGGCUAAUACCCUAGGGGGAUGACGGUACCUGAAGAAUAAGCACCGGCUAACUACGUGCCAGCAGCCGCGGUAAUACGUAGGGUGCAAGCGUUAAUCGGAAUUACUGGGCGUAAAGCGUGCGCAGGCGGUUGUGUAAGACAGGUGUGAAAUCCCCGGGCUUAACCUGGGAAUUGCAUUUGUGACUGCACGACUAGAGUGUGUCAGAGGGGGGUGGAAUUCCACGUGUAGCAGUGAAAUGCGUAGAUAUGUGGAGGAACACCAAUGGCGAAGGCAGCCCCCUGGGAUAACACUGACGCUCAUGCACGAAAGCGUGGGGAGCAAACAGGAUUAGAUACCCUGGUAGUCCACGCCCUAAACGAUGUCAACUAGUUGUUGGGGAUUUACUUCCUUGGUAACGUAGCUAACGCGUGAAGUUGACCGCCUGGGGAGUACGGCCGCAAGGUUAAAACUCAAAGGAAUUGACGGGGACCCGCACAAGCGGUGGAUGAUGUGGAUUAAUUCGAUGCAACGCGAAAAACCUUACCUACCCUUGACAUGGCAGGAACUUUCCAGAGAUGGAUUGGUGCUCGAAAGAGAACCUGCACACAGGUGCUGCAUGGCUGUCGUCAGCUCGUGUCGUGAGAUGUUGGGUUAAGUCCCGCAACGAGCGCAACCCUUGUCAUUAGUUGCUACGAAAGGGCACUCUAAUGAGACUGCCGGUGACAAACCGGAGGAAGGUGGGGAUGACGUCAAGUCCUCAUGGCCCUUAUGGGUAGGGCUUCACACGUCAUACAAUGGUCGGUACAGAGGGUUGCCAAGCCGCGAGGUGGAGCCAAUCCCAGAAAACCGAUCGUAGUCCGGAUCGCAGUCUGCAACUCGACUGCGUGAAGUCGGAAUCGCUAGUAAUCGCGGAUCAGAAUGCCGCGGUGAAUACGUUCCCGGGUCUUGUACACACCGCCCGUCACACCAUGGGAGUGGGUUCUACCAGAAGUGGCUAGUCUAACCGCAAGGAGGACGGUCACCACGGUAGGAUUCAUGACUGGGGUGAAGUCGUAACAAGGUAGCCGUAUCGGAAGGUGCGGCUGGAUCACCUCCUUUCUAGAGAAAGAGAAGUAGAUUCAAGUCUUGAAUUUGUUUGGUUUUAGUGCUCACACUUAUCGGUUUGUUUAGACGCGAAGAUACAAGCAGCAAGAAGAGAGGGCCUUUAAGUGCGGAACGAAAGAACUGUCUAGAGGUCAGGGCCCUGGGGCUGAAAAGUUUACGGGGUCUGUAGCUCAGUUGGUUAGAGCACCGUCUUGAUAAGGCGGGGGUCGAUGGUUCGAGCCCAUCCAGACCCACCAUUGGUUUGAAGUUGUUGUAAAACACCUGGGGGUGUAGCUCAGCUGGGAGAGCACCUGCUUUGCAAGCAGGGGGUCAUCGGUUCGAUCCCGUUCACCUCCACCAAGUUUUAGUGCUGCAAGAAACGUGAAGUUUGUAUCGAGUGUUUGAAUAAAUGGUCUUUGAAUAAAAGAUUGGCUGUUAGCGGUUAGGCAAGGGAUGCAAGGGUUUGCAUCGGUUUGCGGUCAAAUGAAUAAGCGCGUGGUGCUGGGCACUGAGGUGUUUAUUCAUUUGGCUGUAAGAGUCGCCAGGUCUUCAGGAUCUGGACUUGUUCUUUAACAAUUUGGAAAUGAUGAGAUAUCGAGAUAGAUACUCCUUUUAACGAAGGUGUAGAUAUUUUGAUUGAUGCGAUUGCAUCAUCGUUCUUCUCAAGAAGUGGGUGUGUAUUGUUCCUAAUACGCACCGGCGCUUGAAAUUUAGAAUACACACAAACUACUUUGCUUUUUAUGGUGAUUACAGUGUUGUUCUUGUGAAUAACUUGAGCAGGGCUUAACGCUAUAGAGUCAAGCGAAUAAGUGCACAUGGUGGAUGCCUUGGCAGUCAUAGGCGAUGAAGGACGUGGUAGCCUGCGAAAAGCUACGGGGAGCUGGCAAACAAGCUUUGAGCCGUAGAUGUCCGAAUGGGGAAACCCACCCUUUUWGGGGUAUCGCACAGUGAAUACAUAGCUGUGCGAGGCGAACCUGGAGAACUGAAACAUCUAAGUACCCAGAGGAAAAGAAAUCAACCGAGAUUCCGAGAGUAGUGGCGAGCGAAAUUGGAUCAGCCUGUACGAUUUAGCAUUUGAGUUAACAAAACGGUCUUGAAAGUCCGGCCAUAGAAGGUGAUAGCCCUGUAUGUGAAAACUCGAUUGUGGAACUAGGCGUACGACAAGUAGGGCGGGGCACGAGAAACCCUGUCUGAACAUGGGGGACCAUCCUCCAAGGCUAAAUACUCAUGACUGACCGAUAGUGAACUAGUACCGUGAGGGAAAGGSGAAAAAAACCCCGGGGGGGGAGUGAAAUAGAUCCUGAAACCGUGUGCAUACAAACAGUCGGAGCGGACUUGUUCCGUGACGGCGUACCUUUUGUAUAAUGGGUCAGCGACUUACAUUCAGUGGCAAGCUUAACCGAGUAGGGAAGGCGUAGCGAAAGCGAGUCCGAAUAGGGCGUCUAGUCGCUGGGUGUAGACCCGAAACCAGAUGAUCUAUCCAUGGCCAGGUUGAAGGUUGGGUAACACCAACUGGAGGACCGAACCCACUAACGUUGAAAAGUUAGGGAUGAGCUGUGGAUAGGGGUGAAAGGCUAAACAAAUCCGGAAAUAGCUGGUUCUCCCCGAAAACUAUUUAGGUAGUGCGUCACAUAUCACUUCCGGGGUAAAGCACUGUUAUGGCUAGGGGGUCAUCGCGACUUACCAAACCAUGGCAAACUCUGAAUACCGGAAAGUGCGAGUGUGGCAGACAGACAGUGGGUGCUAACGUCCAUUGUCAAGAGGGAAACAACCCAGACCGCCAGCUAAGGUCCCCAAGACACAGUUAAGUGGGAAACGAGGUGGGAAGGCAUAGACAGCUAGGAGGUUGGCUUAGAAGCAGCCAUCCUUUAAAGAAAGCGUAAUAGCUCACUAGUCGAGUCGUCCUGCGCGGAAGAUGUAACGGGGCUCAAACUGUGCACCGAAGCUGCGGAUAUCGAAAGAUAUGGUAGGGGAGCGUUCUGUAGGUCUGUGAAGGUGUCUUGUAAAGGAUGCUGGAGAUAUCAGAAGUGCGAAUGCUGACAUGAGUAGCGAUAAAGGGRGKRAAARSCCCCGCCGAAAGCCCAAGGUUUCCUACGCAACGUUCAUCGGCGUAGGGUGAGUCGGCCCCUAAGGCGAGGCAGAAAUGCGUAGUCGAUGGGAAACAGGUCAAUAUUCCUGUACCGAUUCUAGAUGCGAUGUGGGGACGGAGAAGGUUAGGUCAGCCAACUGUUGGAAUAGUUGGUUUAAGCGUGUAGGCGUGCCCCUUAGGCAAAUCCGGGGGCUUAGCUGAGGCGUGACGACGAGGUGCUACGGCACUGAAGUGAUUGAUACCAAGCUUCCAGGAAAAGCCACUAAGCUUCAGUCUAGAAUUGACCGUACCGCAAACCGACACAGGUGGGCAGGAUGAAAAUUCUAAGGCGCUUGAGAGAACUCAGGAGAAGGAACUCGGCAAAUUGACACCGUAACUUCGGGAGAAGGUGUGCCCCGGUAGGUUGUAGAGCCUCGCGCUCGAAGGCCGAUGGGGUUGCAGUGAAAUGGUGGCUGCGACUGUUUAAUAAAACACAGCACUCUGCAAACACGAAAGUGGACGUAUAGGUGUGACGCCUGCCCGGUGCUGGAAGAUUAAAUGAUGGGGUGCAAGCUCUUGAUUGAAGUCCCAGUAAACGGCGGCCGUAACUAUAACGGUCCUAAGGUAGCGAAAUUCCUUGUCGGGUAAGUUCCGACCUGCACGAAUGGCGUAACGAUGGCCACACUGUCUCCUCCUGAGACUCAGCGAAGUUGAAAUGUUUGUGAAGAUGCAAUCUCCCCGCGGCAAGACGGAAAGACCCCAUGAACCUUUACUGUAGCUUUGCAUUGGACUUUGAACCGGUUUGUGUAGGAUAGGUGGGAGGCUGUGAAACCGGGACGCCAGUUUCGGUGGAGCCAACCUUGAAAUACCACCCUGAUUUGUUUGAGGUUCUAACCUUGACCAGUGAAUCCUGGUCGGGGACCGUGCAUGGUAGGCAGUUUWACUGGGGCGGUGACUACUUUCUGCCUUUGCGAGAACAGCACCAGCAAUACGUAACU